GCAUGGGUUUGGAUUUAUGAUGGGUCCGUCCCCCUGGGCCUCUCGUAGUACCCCAUACCAGAUCAAACCGUAGCCCCGAACCAUUGCCUGGCCUCUGCCUGUAGCCUGCUGGCACAGAAGCGGGCUGCACACUA
rnacentral:snoRNA from 1 species